rnacentral:rRNA from 1 species
AUUGAACGCUGGCGGCAGGCCUAACACAUGCAAGUCGAGCGGAUGAAGGGAGCUUGCUCCUGGAUUCAGCGGCGGACGGGUGAGUAAUGCCUAGGAAUCUGCCUGGUAGUGGGGGAUAACGUCCGGAAACGGGCGCUAAUACCGCAUACGUCCUGAGGGAGAAAGUGAGGGAUCUUCGGACCUCACGCUAUCAGAUGAGCCUAGGUCGGAUUAGCUAGUUGGUGGGGUAAAGGCCUACCAAGGCGACGAUCCGUAACUGGUCUGAGAGGAUGAUCAGUCACACUGGAACUGAGACACGGUCCAGACUCCUACGGGAGGCAGCAGUGGGGAAUAUUGGACAAUGGGCGAAAGCCUGAUCCAGCCAUGCCGCGUGUAUGAAGAAGGUCUUCGGAUUGUAAAGCACUUUAAGUUGGGAGGAAGGGCAGUAAGUUAAUACCUUGCUGUUUUGACGUUACCAACAGAAUAAGCACCGGCUAACUUCGUG